UACGUAGGGUGCGAGCGUUAAUCGGCAUUACUGGGCGUAAAGCGUGCGCAGGCGGUUCGUUGUGUCGGCGGUGAAAGCCCCGGGCUCAACCUGGGAAUGGCCGUUGAAACUGGCGAACUGGAGUGUGGCAGAGGGGGGUGGAAUUCCGCGUGUAGCAGUGAAAUGCGUAGAGAUGCGGAGGAACACCGAUGGCGAAGGCAGCCCCCUGGGCUGACACUGACGCUCAGGCACGAAAGCGUGGGGAGCAAACAGG
rnacentral:rRNA from 1 species